AAAACCCAGAAACCUUUCCCAUCCCUCAUCCUAACAUCCUGCCAAAAUGCACCGAAAGCAUAUAGAGCCCAGCACCGACAUUCACAGUGACCCUCGAAUUCACUGCCCCCCGGGACAAGGGGUGGCAUUAUAUGGGGAACUUCUGAGGAUUGGUAUCAAAUAGGAAAGCUACCCUGCCCGAGCUACAGCGCGGACGUUUCUUCCCCCACCCCAAGACGGUUCGUUGACUAAAAAAAACGUUCAAAGUUACGGGACUUGUACUUGGCCCUAAGGGGUGAAUUGGAAAACCCGGCUGAAACAUUUUAACCGGAUCGAGAGUUCAGUCGGGAUUCCCAUGUUCAGCUCUAUUUGACACUAGUCGUAUGCUGCUGUGAGUCUGAGCCUCAAAACCAUUGCUAGACGUACUGUAUUUCAGUGACUGGACAACCGUAUUCGCAAAGAUUUUUAAAAGAGUGAACAGGAAGACGUUCAAAGUUACAGAAGAAACCGCAAGUGCAGUCUGGUGAAACAGCAUGGAGGAAGAAGCCCAUUGCUCUCUCAUUUACUGUGGGAGGGAGGAAGACAGGUUUUUUAGCAGAACUGGUUAGAUGAAUUCAAGUGGGAGAAGGCUCGUGUGGAGCAUAAACAGCGGCAUAAAUCAGUUGGGCCGAAUGGCCUGUUUCCGCGCUGUUAAAUUCUAUGUAAUUUAAUUCUAUGUAAUUCCAUGUCUACACGUAGGCAACCCAUGCAUACAGUCCUGUUGACUGACCUCUGAUCCGAGUGAUGCCUUCUACCUGGGAGGAGCUAACUAGAAGUUCAAAGAUGGAUAGCCGUAUUUGGCAGAGUUAUAUAUUAAAAUUAGUUAGAAAGUGAAAAAAAAGACUUGCAUGUAAAUAAUGUUUUUUAAGACCUCAAAAGCCCCAAAGCGCUUUACAGCCAAUGAAGUACUUUUUAAAGGUGCAGUCACUGUUGUAGGAAACAUGACAGCCAAUUAUGCACAGCAAGAUCCCACAAACAGCAGGCAGCUAGAGCACAGUGAUCUGAAAAUCAGUGCCUGCAAGGUUAUGUUUGAGCCAGUGUCAGACACACACAAUGCAGCACCAGACAUGAUCAUUGGAUGCCACCAGUCUCAAGGCUGUAGAAAAACUCUCUUGAUUUGGCAGUGUGCUCUCUAGAGAUGCCAUUAUUGAUGAAGAUAUCUGUGCCCACAUCAGAAAGUGAGUUUUGCCUAUAGCCAACACCAUGAUAGGGUCUGAAAGCACCUUGGCAUUAAGCUGAAUACUAAAAUCAAACUCUGCCAGGCAUUUGUCCUUACUACCCUGCUGUAGGGUGCAGAAUCCUGGGUCUGCCAAAGGCAUCAAAGAUCUGGAACACAUCCACCAAAGACAUCUGUGGUCCAUCAUGAGAAUUCGAUGACAGGACAAAAUCACAAUGAGGUUCUUCAUGGUGCUGGGCUCAACAGCAUGGAGAUCACUCUCCAGAAUAUCGAUCUUAGAUAGGCAAGUCAUGUCUCCUGCCUGGAUGACUAUAGAAGCCCCAAGCAGAUCUUCUAUGGGGAACUGUCUCAGGGAACAUGACAUCAAGGUGGUCAGUACAAAUGACACAAGUACAUGCUUAAAAGGAGCCUUACAAACGUCUACAUUGCAGACAACCUCUCUUGGGAAAACACUACAGCCGACUGGCCCAUGAGCAGACAAGCACUGAAAUUUGGUUCAGUAUGUUUUGAGGGCUAGCUAUGUCAAACUUGCAACAUCCGAUGUGCCCGGAGGAAGGCAGGGGGUGGUGCAGCUGCAAAAGUUCCCCCAAACAUCAGCAAUGACAAUUUGAACUACCAUUCCUGUGAAUGUCCAUAACAAUUCCACAUCAGACUCUUCAGCUACGAGAGAAGCCACAAGAGAUGACGAAAUUGCUCACAGCUUCAAUGUCCUUGCACCACGAGGAGUCUACCAUUGCCAUGGAAACUCUUGCAUCCACCUGAGAAGGCAGAUAUAGCCUCACCUGAAAGACACCACCUCUGACAGUACAGCACUCCCUGAGUAAUGCACUGAAGUGUCAGCAUAGAUUUUGUUCUCAGGCAUUUGAAGUUGGACUUGAACCUGCAACCUGCUUAGAGCCACCAAAGCAAAUUGUAUUGGUACAACUCUAACUUAUGUUGAUACCAGUUCAAACUUAGCAUCUUCAUAACUAGCUGUUGGGACUGUUGCCAAAAGUGCAGCAUAACAGAAUUAAUAGUUAUGGUAAGUUGAAUAAAUUUUCACAAAAGUGCAUUAUUUAAUUAGGGAAUGAAACAAACUGUAGAGUGUGUUGUAGCUGUAGAACAGGUUUGCACCUACAACGUCCCAUAUCAUCUGAGUUUCUGACAUUAGCCAUGUUGUUGUGAGAUAGCACUAAGAGAGGACAUGUGCUUCUACAAUGGGGGGGGGAGGGGUGGGGGGGAGAGCCAAAACAUUAGAGAAAGUAGCAACUGCUGAUAAUUAGCUUAAACAAGGUUUCCUGGGUAAGGCAGCACUAAUGUUGGCCAAGAGCAGCUCAUCCACUGGUCCAGUGUUUUAGCCAUAUUGAAUGAGGGAAAUAUAGAAAGAAAGAACUAGCAUUUAGAUAGUACCUUUCAUAGCUUCAGGGCACCUCAAAGCACUUUUUGGCCAAUGAAGUACUUGUUGAAGUGUAGUCACUGUUGUAAUAUAGGAAAUGCAGCAGUCAAUUUGUGCUUAGUAAAGUGCCACAAAAAAGAAUGAGACAAUGACCAGAUAAUUUGUUUUUGGGGUUUUGGUUGAGGGAUAAAUGUUGGCCAAAUAGUUUCAUGAAAUCUUUUACAAACACUUGAAAGAGCAGAUGGGCCCUUGGUUUAACAUCUCAUCCAAAAGGCAGUGGCUGUGGUAUUGGAGCACUCCCUCAGUCCUGAAAUGGCAGCUGAGAAUAUAGGCUCAAGUGUCUGGUGUGGGACUUGAACCUCCGACCUCCUAAUUUAAAGAUGUCAAUUAUCACUUAACCAAGACUGACAAUUAAUAUUAAUAUCUAUGGUUCUGACCAGAUCGAUCUGUUCAAUGUAAAUAUUACUUGUUAAAUUUGACUUACCAAAAGAUAAAAAAGUAAAUCCUAUAAUUCUGGAAGUCCCACAUAUAAAAUGUCUCUAGUGUGAAAAAAGUGAAAACAUUGAAUUUAAGAAAGAAGUACAUGUACAUUGUCGUUCAUUAAAACAUGCGAUAGAAUGAUAAAACAAUUUUAAAAAAGACAA